GAUGAACGCUGGCGGCGUGCCUAAUACAUGCAAGUCGAGCGAACGGACGAGAAGCUUGCUUCUCUGAUGUUAGCGGCGGACGGGUGAGUAACACGUGGAUAACCUACCUAUAAGACUGGGAUAACUUCGGGAAACCGGAGCUAAUACCGGAUAAUAUUUUGAACCGCAUGGUUCAAAAGUGAAAGACGGUCUUGCUGUCACUUAUAGAUGGAUCCGCGCUGCAUUAGCUAGUUGGUAAGGUAACGGCUUACCAAGGCAACGAUGCAUAGCCGACCUGAGAGGGUGAUGGGCCACACUGGAACUGAGACACGGUCAAGACUCCUACGGGAGGCAGCAGUAGGGAAUCUUCCGCAAUGGGCGAAAGCCUGACGGAGCAACGCCGCGUGAGUGAUGAAGGUCUUCGGAUCGUAAAACUCUGUUAUUAGGGAAGAACAUAUGUGUAAGUAACUGUGCACAUCUUGACGGUACCUAAUCAGAAAGCCACGGCUAACUACGUG
rnacentral:rRNA from 1 species